rnacentral:rRNA from 1 species
CCAGUGACAAAAUUCAACGGCCGCGGUACCCUAACCGUGCAAAGGUAGCAUAAUCAUUUGUUCUUUAAAUAAGGACUUGUAUCAACGGCAUCACGAGGGUUGAACUGUCUCCUUUUCCCUAUCAGUAAAACUAAUCUCCCCGUGAAGAAGCGGGGAUAAUUCUAUAAGACGAGAAGACCCCAUGGAGCUUUAAACCCAACUAUACCCCCACCAAUUUUACUUUAAAACACUCAGGGCCCUAUACGUUCCGGUUUUAGGUUGGGGUGACCACGGAGCAUAAACUAACCUCCAUAAUGAAUAGACAUUCUCUUUAUCCAAGACCCACGCCUCUAAGAAUUAGUAAUCUAACAUAAAAUGAUCCGAUAUUCGAUCAACGAACCAAGUUACCCUGGGGAUAACAGCGCAAUCUACUUCAAGAGCCCCUAUCGACAAGUAGGUUUACGACCUCGAUGUUGGAUCAGGGUAUCCCAGCGGUGCAGCAGCUGCUAAAGGUUCGUUUGUUCAACGAUCAAAACCC